CAAAGAGGUCAGCACCAAUACCAACUGAGAAUGCUCAGCGUCCCCCAGGAACAAAGAGGGCGAAGAAAGCUACAGGAAAAGAUAAGGAAGCACCUACUGAGAUGAAUAACAUGAAAGAACAGAUUGAGGCCUUUCUACAAGCACAAGCUGAUGCUAAGGAGCGAACUGCUGAGAUGAUGGAAUUGCAGAGUCGACUGUCUGCUCAGAAGGUAGAAGCUAAUCGACUUGCAUAUGAGGCAGCAAAGGAGAGGACAGUGGCCAAGUUAGCAGAGGAAAGAACAAAGUUGUUUGACAAGUUCACAAAUAUGUUGAAUGCUGACACAACAAGAAUGGAGCCAUGGGCAAAGGAGAUGCAUAUGAAGGCUGUUACAAGAUUGGGGGAUCAACUUUUCAGGGAGGAAUAGAAGAUGUUCUACAUAUAUGUCAAAAAAAGCGGAUUUCAUGUGCCAGGAAGCGUAGAAGAUGUGAGAUUUUUUUUUGGAAUGAGAAGAAUCAAAGGAUACAACAAAAAAUUCAGUCUGAAAUUUGAUUUGUGUGUUUACAAAUCUUUCCUUUAUGGGUAUUUGAAACCUUAAGAUUAUUCUGUUACUAUG